ensembl:lncRNA
GAGAGAGAGAGAGGGGGAGCGAGAGAGAGAGAGGGGGAGAGGGGGAGAGAGAGAGGACAGGUCAAACAGAGGGGUCGAAGGGAAUGACUUAAUGAAAAGGCGACUAAGAAAAUGGGAAUAUACAGAGAAAAAGAAAGAUGGAGGAGAGGUUAUGGAGGGCUGAGCAAGAAGGGAUGAGUAAACAAGAGGGAACCGAUCUCAAUCAUCUGACUGAGGCUAUUAGGGAGCAUAUUGGGCACUUAGUCUGAUCACCAACCAAGUUACUACUUCUACAGUACCCCAGAUGGUAAUGCUGCAGUGUGUGUUAGUGUCUGCGUGCAUGCAUGCAAGUGUGCUUGUCUUCUAAUCACUCUCCCAGUCACCCUAAGAGUCAAUUUCAGUGAUCCAUUUGAGCUCCCAGUCAGUCAGACAAACAGCCUAUGUAAAAAUGAUAUGAUGAAGGUUAUCAAGUUCCCAUUGGUAGUGGGUGAAUGUAGGAGGCAGCAGAAUGGAAAAGAGGAAAAUACAGGGAAAAGAAUGGGGUGAAGUGACAAGGUGCCUCUGAUGGCCUACCAUAGAAAGAACGAGAGGAAGAAAGGUUAUUGGACUGCUACCUUCCAGAGCCAGGAGUGUCAUGACAGAGAGGGUGGUCUGUUAUUCAUCUGUUCCUUUAGGGAGUAGAGCAUGUUUUAACCUUUGCCACCACAACCACAAGGUUAAAUAGUCCCCUACAUCCCUGAGCAUUUCAAUUCUAUUCUUGUGCUUUCACAAUCAGCUCUAUAGUUGAUAGAAGCUGCUUCACACAUGGACACACACACAUACAAACACACUGACACACAAACACACACUGACACACAAACACACACUGACACACACACACACACUGACACACACACACACACUCUGAUAACAGUCCUUUAACGUAGCUACAUACACAUUCUGUUUUCAUCUCAUCCUUUAUGUUCAAUUCAUCCAUAUCUCUUUUUUUAUCCACCUCACCUCUCAUCUCCUCUCCCUCUCCUCCACUCCCCUCUCUACUCCAUCUCCCCUCUCUCCUCCUCUCCUUCUCUACUUCUCUCCCUCUCCUCCUCUCCCCAUUUCCCCAUCUCCUGUAAUAUUUUAUGUUCUGUAAUCUAACCAUGUCUAGCUGGAUGUCUAGGUUUUCUGCUAGGGUGACCCAGGAUCUUUUCUUCUGGCUCUAGCAGAGGAACUGUUGCUGUAAAAUACAGUUUGCCGCUAUCGACCGAUCCCGCAACCAUGAUUUUCUUUCUGAAUAGGAGCUCAAAAACUUGUCGGGAACGGCGACAACAAAAAAAGAUGUAUUGUCUGUAAAGUAUUAUAAAAAAGAAAAAGAGCACAACAUCAGAAGUUUUGUAACAAUGAAAUUGUGGAAUUCUGAAUAUUUUUUUCCAUUUGUUGUUUUCAAUCUGGAUUUUCUUUAGAUGUACUGAAAGCUUUAAAGAUAUGUGUAGAUUUAUUGUACAGUGUGUAUGACCUUUAGAGCAUGUCCAACUGUUUUCAUACUAUGCCAAAAGACAAAAGAGAACUCAAGCACAGAGACUUUACAAAUUACAAGUCAAAAGAAGAAAAACAAAACAAAACCAGAGCCCUUAUUUCUCCUCUUUUACCGGACUGGGCACAAGAGAGGGUGUGGCCAGCUAUAGUUUUGGGGGAGGGGCAUGUGAGAAAGAGGAGGGGUUUAGUAAGCACAUGAGGGCAUGCCCACUAUUAAAAAAACAGCACAAAUUAAUCUAAACUGAAGCGAUGUCAAUGGCACAUCUGGGGGACAAUGUGGCUCUGUUGGACAUUAUGGGGACGUCUUUGAUCUGGUCAGAUAUUUUGUCUCUACUUGAUAUACUGGCUCUAUGGGACACACCAAAUCUGGAGGACAUUUUGAUCUGCCCGUUCUGCCAGUGGGCCAACAAGCAUAGUGAUGAGCAUUGCUCCUCAAGACACUGGAUUGGCUAUGUGUUUUAUCCUGGUUCUUUUUCCAGUACAGGACAGAGUGUGUGUCUGGACUGCAGCACCCACAGAGCUCCAGCUCCACGCAGCCAACUAUCCACAGAAACCUGCUCAGUCUCAGUCAGCCAUAGAGGCUGAGUCAGUGAGUCUCAGUUCACCAGGAGUCCUGCGUUGGUAACACAGAGCAGAGUCAGAGUCCAUCCACUCCUACAGUCAGCUAGUCUGCCUCUUCUACCACUACUCAGCUCUGAAGCCAAACAUCAAAGAACCAACCGUCUAAUCAUAUUAUCAAUGCAUUAUUAACACUCAUCACGUUACCAUGGAAACAGAAUUACAUGGGAGAGUUUGAUGACAACAAUUUGUGUUAGGGUAGAAGAUAAGAGAUGAUCAUUUCAUAGGGUUUCACAGAAGAGAGGAUUUCAAAGGGUGGUGUGCAAGUUAAAAUGGAUAAACGUAUAAAGUUGAAUGAGAUACUGGAAUGAGUCAGACUGAUGUCUUGAUGUGACUGACUGACCAGGAGGACAUUCAUUUCUCUUUCUGUGUGUCUGUGUGUGAGAGUGUGUAGGUUUGUGUGUAUGUGUGCGAUGUGUGUGUGCGUGUCUGUGUGUGAGAGAGAGAGAAAGGAACUGUAGGAAUUCAUCAAAGUAAAUGUGAUGCUUAUGUACAACUUGCCUCCCUGCUAUUUGUGUUGAUAACAGAGAGAUAUAAAUGAACCAUUAAGUCAUGUGAUAACUGAUUCCAUAGUGGCUCACGCCCUUCUGGUUAUGUGUUGAACUGGACUUCUCAUUUUAUCCCCGACUCCCCUUCUAAUGUAAAACCUUCAGCGACAAAUAGUGCACGUUAUACGUUUUAUCAACGUACUGUACACCCACACCAACCCCCACUUAGAAACCCCACAGUCAUUGUUCCAAAGCCCCCACCCCAACCUUUACUUCUUUCAUUUCCAGUCUGCUGUUACGAGCACCAUCCACCCUUCCUCCUCCCCGUUUAAAUUCUAGCAGGAUCUUGGCUCCAGCAGUCAAUGUGAUAGAGGAGUAUGAACAAAAGAGUUAUCCCUCGCUCCCUCUCAUUCCCUCUCUCCCUCUUAUUAUCAUCAGAAUCAGCAGAGUACUGAUCAAUCCGUCCGUUCUCGCACCCUCCAUCUCGGUCCUCCAUUUAUCCACUUUUCCAACACCAUCUCUCCUUCCCACAACCUUCUCUGUUCCCCCUCCAUUUUUAACACACUCUCCAUUCCCCUAACCCCUCCAUUUCCCCACCCUCCUUCAUCUAUCCAUUUCCCCACUCCUCCAUCCCUUCGUUCCCCCAACCCAACCUCUCUCAGCUCCCCACUCCCCUAAUCCCCAACAGAACCAACUCUCUUUUCAUUUUCUCUCGGUGAAGUAAUAUAGAUUGUUUUGCGGAAUCUUGAUACUGUGUUUUAAUGUCUUGUCAACAUUUAAUAAACAUCACAUUUUAUAAGUGAAA